rnacentral:rRNA from 1 species
GAUGAACGCUGGCGGCGUGCCUAAUACAUGCAAGUCGAGCGGACAGACGAGGAUCUUGCUGCUCUGACGUUAGCGGCGCGCGGGUGUGUAACACGUGGAUAACCCACCUAUAAGACUGGGAUAACUUCGGGAAACCGGAGCUAAUACCGGAUAAUAUCUUGCACCGCAUGGUGGAAUAGUGAAAGACGGUGUUGCUGUCACGUAUAGAUGGAUCCGCGCUGCAUUAGCUAGUUGGUAAGGUAACGGCUUACCAAGGCGACGAUGCGUAGCCGACCUGAGAGGGGGAUAGGCCACACUGGAAGGGAGACAGCGUCCAGACUCCUGCGGGAGGCACCAGUAGGGAAUCGUCCGCAAUGGGCGAAAGCCUGACGGAGCAACGCCGCGUGAGUGAUGACGGUCUUCGGAUCGUAAAACUGUGUUAUUAGGGAAGAACAGAUGUGUAAGUAACUGUGCACUUCUUGACGGUACCUAGUCAGAAAGCCACGGCUAACUACGUG